UAUAAAGCUCAGUUGGUAGAGCAUGAGAAUCUUAAUCUCAGGGUCGUGGGUUCGAGCCCCAAGUAGGGCAAAA